rnacentral:rRNA from 1 species
GUACACGCUGUGACUAGCAUAUCAAUAAGCGGAGGAAAAGAAACUAACAAGGAUUCCCCUAGUAACGGCGAGUGAAGCGGGAAGAGCUCAAAUUUGAAAUCUUAAAGGGUUUCCCUUUACGAAUUGUAGUUUAAAGAAGUGUUUUCUGUUGAGGUUUUGGUAAAAGUUCUUUGGAAUAGGACAUCAUAGAGGGUGAGAAUCCCGUAUUUGACCUUUACUUUCAACUUUGUGAUACACUUUCAAAGAGUCGGAUUGUUUGGGAAUGCAGUCCAAAAUGGGUGGUAAAUUUCAUCUAAAGCUAAAUAUUGGCGAGAGACCGAUAGCGAACAAGUACCGUGAGAGAAAGAUGAAAAGAACUUGAAAAGAGAGUUAAACAGUACGUGAAAUUGUCAAAAGGGAAGCGUUUGACACCAGUGUUGUUUUUCUGAAAAUCAAUUAAAGAACUGUUUAUGCUAAGUUGUUUAGACUUUAUCAGCUAACUGUUUAGUUUUGAGCUUUUCUUUAUGCACUUUUCAGUUAACAAGUCAACAUCAAUUUCUUUUGCUGUAAAAAAGCUUGAGGAAGGUGGCUUGAAAUUCGUCUUAAGUGUUUAUAGCCUCUUGCCUAUGCAGUCGGAGAGAUUGAGGUCUGCAGCGUAGAUCCUUCGGGGCUAAAUGCAUUUGUGCUAAGUUAUAGCAUUUUAUAGACAACUUGUUGACUAUGAUUUGUCUUGUAGCUUACUCGCUUAUGUUAUUUUACCUACGCUUAGGAUGUUGACUGAUAUGUAGUCGU